AUUGAACGCUGGCGGCAGGCCUAACACAUGCAAGUCGAACGGUAACAGGAAGCAGCUUGCUGCUUCGCUGACGAGUGGCGGACGGGUGAGUAAUGUCUGGGAAGCUGCCUGAUGGAGGGGGAUAACUACUGGAAACGGUAGCUAAUACCGCAUAAUGUCGCAAGACCAAAGAGGGGGACCUUCGGGCCUCUUGCCAUCGGAUGUGCCCAGAUGGGAUUAGCUUGUUGGUGGGGUAACGGCUCACCAAGGCGACGAUCCCUAGCUGGUCUGAGAGGAUGACCAGCCACACUGGAACUUAGACACGGUCCAGACUCCUACGGGAGGCAGCAGUGGGGAAUAUUGCACAAUGGGCGCAAGCCUGAUGCAGCCAUGCCGCGUGUAUGAAGAAGGCCUUCGGGUUGUAAAGUACUUUCAGCGGGGAGGAAGGGAGUAAAGUUAAUACCUUUGCUCAUUGACGUUACCCGCAGAAGAAGCACCGGCUAACUCCGUG
rnacentral:rRNA from 1 species